rnacentral:tRNA from 2 species
AGUAAGGUCAGCUAACCAAGCUAUCGGGCCCAUACCCCGAAAAUGUAGGUUCACAACCUUCCCAUACUA